CACGGCAGCAAAAUCACUGGAGUCCAUGGUUUUUGUCACACACACAGAGCACAGAUUUUUUUGAUUAUGUAGAUUUCUUUUCCUACUGCAGUUUCAUAUGCAAAGCAUGCAUCAGCCACAUCCAUGCUAUCUCCUAAAGCAGUCAUUCUGAAACCCAAUCUGGGGACAGUGCAGACUAAAUAAAAUUUCAUUUUGAUUUGGCCUCCCGCUGCGAAUGGGACUGCUUUGUCUCAGCCGACAGAACCAGCAAGCCAGAAAGAUGAGGAAACUGAGCCAUCAAAACUGAGUGACUUGCUUGAGACCAUGCAGCUAUGGAGGGAAAGACCAGGAUCUGAAGCCAACUGGGUCUCCCAAGCCUGAGUCACUGAACCAUUUCACUUCUUGGAAAAACUUAAUAGUCACUGCGGCUCACCUAGACCACGGACAGCAUGGAGUUAAUGAACUUUGAUCAAAAACUUAUGGUGCAUUGACUGAGCAUUUAUUCUUUUAAGACAAUAUAUUUGGAUGUCUUUUGCAUGUACAGAAUUCAAAUUAUUAGUAAUGUCCACAAAAGUUGCCCUAUAUUUUUAUGCUGAAAUACAAUAAAAUGUCAACUUCGUUCCA
rnacentral:lncRNA from 13 species